UCCGUGGUGGCUCAGAGGUUAAAGCAUCUGCCUGCAAUGCGGGAGACCUGGGUUCGAUUCCUGGGUUGGGAA
rnacentral:tRNA from 1 species